GACGAACGCUGGCGGCGUGCUUAACACAUGCAAGUCGAACGGUGAAGCGCCUUCCUUUUUGGUGGGUGUGGAUGAGUGGCGAACGGGUGAGUAACACGUGAGUAACCUGCCCCCUUCUUCUGGAUAACCGCAUGAAAGUGUGGCUAAUACGGGAUAUUCUGGGUCUGUCGCAUGAUGGGUCUGGGAAAGAUAUUGUUUCGGUGGGGGAUGGGCUCGCGGCCUAUCAGCUUGUUGGUGGGGUGAUGGCCUACCAAGGCGGCGACGGGUAGCCGGCCUGAGAGGGUGGACGGUCACACUGGGACUGAGACACGGCCCAGACUCCUACGGGAGGCAGCAGUGGGGAAUAUUGCACAAUGGGCGCAAGCCUGAUGCAGCGACGCCGCGGGAGGGAUGGAGGCCUUCGGGUUGUGAACCUCUUUCGCCAGUGAAGCAGGCCUGCCUCGUUUGUGGGUGGGUUGACGGUAGCUGGAGAAGAAGCGCCGGCUAACUACGUG
rnacentral:rRNA from 1 species